GUCUACGGCCACGCCACCCUGAACGUGCCCGAUUCCGUCUGAUCUCGGAAGCUAAGCAGGGUCGGCCUGGUUAGUACUUGGAUGGGAGACCACCUAGGAAGACCAGGUGCUGUAGGCA
rnacentral:rRNA from 1 species